rnacentral:lncRNA from 1 species
CUGUAACGCUUCUGUGAACAGGAGCAUACAAACAUCUCUUCAAAACCAUGCUUUGAAUUCUUUUGGGUAUAUACUUACAAGUACAAUUGCUGGACCACAUGGUAAUUCCAUUAAUUUCUUGAGGAAGUGCUAUUCUGCUUUUCAUAGCAGUUGCACAUUUUACAUUCCCACCAACAAUUGAUGACAUCAUCACCCAGUGUGGACCUCUUUUAAGUGACUUUAUAGCACAGUCAUUUAAUUGUAUACUCUUAGUAAUCUUUUUUUUUUUUUUUUUUUUUUNNNNNNNNNNUUUUUUUUUUUUUUUUUUUUUUAGGUGACGGAGUUUCGUUCUUGUCACCCAGGCU